UUGCGGCAGAAUUGAUAAGGAAAAGUCGCUGGAACUGACUUAAAAAACACUGGAACUGACUUAAUCGAAUCCACUCGACUAUUGCUGCGCGAGAUACGUAAUCAAUGUAUUUGGGAACCAGGCGUGGCAUUGCCAUGAAAGUGUUGUUCAAAAUGUUGGUACAUAAAAGAAAGAGUCGUCUUUUGUAACUCGUUGUAGAACUUAGGUCAUUUUACGAUUCUCUGAUGGAAAGAUGCAAUGAGGAUGAGAGGCCCGUAAACGUUAACUUCGGGAAAGCAGUGCUCGUACCGUAGUUCUUGCUGUAAAAUUGACUAAUGGACGUAUAAAGGGGAGGAAUUGCACAUGCAGGAACGCCCUGAAUUGCGCGCCGCAAUCACACCCUUCUAAACAAUUCCACGAGGAGCGUUUGAAAAAGAAACACUUUAAUUGAACAAUUGAACAGUUGCUAAUUCUACAGGAUUAGCAUUGAAAGCGUGACUAGCGGUGGGGAAAUCAGAGGGAAAUCAAAGGACACUGAUUCCCCCGUCCCAUUUCACAGCAAGCAUCCAGUCUGCCUCAAUCACAGUACCAGGGACUGCAAUGGGUGAGGGACCACACCAAUAACAUGGGUCACCCCUGCCACAACACCACCAAACCAGAGGAUUCUGAUCUGGAGAGAGAGCUGGAGAGGGAGUCUGGGGAGGUGGAGACGCUGAGGAGUGAAGUGCAGACAGGAGGCCCAGAGGCUGACCAGGGAAGCUGAGACGGCUAGGCUGCAGGCUUGGGAGGAAGUCAAGCAGGAAAUGCAGAAACUAAAGAAGCAACUGGAUGAAUCCAACAGGAAACAUGAAACGCAGUAUUCUAAUCUGAAUUCCUCUAUAGAAGCUGAAUAAGGAGAAGGAGGCUCUGCAGGUGACAACAGAGUUUGACGGUCAGACUCAACUCUGAAUGACAUAUUGGCCCUACAAGAGGAGAAGAGGGUUGAGAAGGCAUGUGAUCAAUUGUUAACGGUGCCAUAGCUGAUGUAAAAUCCCUUUUAUUUUUGUCAGAUAUUUUAUUAAUAUCCAUUCCCACAUGUGUAUAACUAUCUAAGAGCUCUGAGGGUUACGCAAAGGCUUAGUCAUGUCCACAGACUAGGUCAGACCCUCUUGAAGGCACUCUGGUUCUGCACCGCUGGAGAGAGAAGGUCUUCAUGUUGUUGGUCGAGCUUCGCUCAAAGGACAUUGAACUGAGGGGAGAAAAGGACAAUUGUACAAUCUCGUCUCUGGAGCAGGAGGUGAAGGAGAAGUACCAGUCUAGUGUGUUCCAGCACAGCCUGCAGGACAGAACAGCUGCGCUGGACCUGGAGAGUGUGGCUUGGGAGGCGUGAGAUGGGUCUGGUGAGUGAGUAUAAGGGCGCUCGGAACACAGCCCUGCAGACUUCUGUGGCCUUGGAGGAGCAGCAGCAGCAGAGACCCUCAGGGAAGAACAACACUCUGAAAGCCAAAGACAAGCUACAGACCGGAGACUCAGUGGUCCUCAGCUAAGAGGACGAUGUAGAGGAGGACGGGGUGGGGCAGUCCAGAGCCAAAAGAGAACUCCCAAAAGUGACCUUCUGCAAAAAGUACUGGGAACUUUUUUGCUUUCACUGCAAGUUUUGAACAAUCCAUUUCUCUUUUGAAAUUGAACUUUUCAAGUUUCAAAUCUUUGUUUAUUAUGACAUUCCAUUACAUACUUAUGUAACUCAGACUCUUUAUAAAAUAACACUGUUGACACAACAGCAAUGUUUUUUGUAGGAUUUCAUGAAUGUUCUUACUGUUAAUUAGCGCUGAAUAGUAAAGUAAUGUCCUCUAGCUUAUACCAGUGAGAGAUACCAUUCCUCACCUUUGGCUGGCAGGCUACGGCCAGGGGAGAAGCUGACGGACUGAUGAGUUCAUAUAAGGUAGGCGGGCAUGUGGCCUGUGCUCUCAGUCUAAUCGAUAAGUCAAUGCGUUUUCUCCCAGGGCCUCACAGCAAGGAGGAGCAUGACAGGAAAAUCAAAUGAAUGGAUAGCCUCGAUCAAAACCACAUGCUGCCUUCCACUGAAGAAGACUAAAUAACAGGCUGAGUUAUGACCCUAAGUGCUCUGAACUGUAGUACUGGAGAAAGGAGAUUGACCUCUGCUGAUGGUUUUGUAGUCUUGCUAUUGGUUGUGUUUAUAAAGACAUGAAUCAGCAUUUUCUUGGACAAAGCUGUGUAUUGUUUUGUGUGACGACAUAAUGUAAUAUUUUUAACUUUAAUUGUGUCUUUUGAAGUGCUGUUUUGAAAGCACUUAGAACUUAAGAAGCAUUUCAUGAAAAUGAGGUGUGUGUGCGCUCUAUUAGAAAUGGAGAGGUCAUGAUAACAAAGAACUCAUUCCAGAGAAUCAGGAGCAGAUUGUGAAAUGUUCAGAUGGCUCUUACUUAAAGUGACCUCAAAAUCCACAGCCAAUCAGCAGCUGCCAUCAGCUGGUCAUUACUGUAAAUGGAAGUCCGGUCUAACUGGAAGAGAUGUUCAAUUUAGUGUUAUGAAAGUAGCUAUGUCCCUUUCUAAGUUCAAUUCUAUAUCCAUUAUGAAGCUGCAGUAGCUGGCUAAAGUAAUGACCAACCAGAAAAACAACCUGAAAUGCAGAAGAUAAAAAUACACAGGUUUAUGUAGGCAUUCGUGAUUAUGAUGAGAAAUUGAAUUCAUUAAUUUUGUUUAACCCUAGUUCCUGCUUGUGUCCCUAGCCAUCAUCUUUUCUUGUUUUCCUUUUACAGAACACCAUUACAGUGUCAUGACAUUUAUUCAGCACUAAUUGGGGCUGAGGCUCGAUCAAGCAUAUCUGUCUGAGGCACAAUACAAACUCUGUCGUUGAAGUGAUAAGAUAACCAAGCUAUCUACAGUUUUUACCAUCAGUAAGUAGGUGACGUGCUAGAUGCAAGGUUAUUUUGGCCAGUGUAAAGGCAGUUUGAGUGUGUGCAGGAAAUGUAGGGUGAUUAAUUUUUUCCCCCAGAAGGCUGUUAAGUAGCAACAAGACUGAUUUAAUGUAUUUUCUGCCCAACAGUGUCCUCAUCAGACUCCAGCAGCUCUAAAGCAUUGUUUGGUUUGGUGCAGAGAGCCCUGACAUAACGUGUAUCCUAUGCAGUUAGGGGUUCCAUUUUUCAUUCCAGUGUCCUCCCUCUCUCAGGUUAUUGUUAUCACAAUGUAUGUUUAGCUACGGCUCACUGACACUGUAAUUACUUUCAUUUAUGUAUUGGUGUUGUCAUGUAUAUGUACACAGAUUGACAUGAAUAGUUUUCUCUGCAUGUUAGUACUAUAAUGAAGAACAUUUCUGUUAUAAUCAAUGUAGGACUGUCUAUUCUGAUCAGGCCUAUAUCUCUAGAGGACUACCAAUCCAUCUAAUUGAGUGGACAACUUUAGAUGAUGGCAAAUACUAUGUACGUACUAAUCUAUAGUAUAAUAACAAAUGUAAUCCCACUGGUGGCUUGCCUCUGAAGCUAAGCAGAGUUGGUCCUGGACGGUCCCUGGAUGGGAGACCAGUGGUGUUAGAGGGCCAGUAGGAGUCACUUUUUCCCCUGGUAUUUUUUCUUUAUCCCAAUGCCCCAGGGCAGUGAUUGGGAACAUUGCCCUGUAUAGGGUGUCGUCUUUCAGAUGGGAUGUUAAACGGGUGUGCUGACACUCCGUGUUCAAUAAAGAUCCCAUGGCACUUAUUGUUAGAGUAGAGGUGUUAACCUUGGUGUCCUGGCUAAAUUCCU